rnacentral:lncRNA from 1 species
UUCUAUCAAUUUAAUCCUUCCCUCAGGAGCAAGAAAGCAGUGGAAGCUUUGAAAACCAGACCACAUGUCUUACUAUCAAGGAUAUUCCAGGGUGAAGAAGCUCCAGGUGCUAAGGGAGGUUUCGGGGUGAGUGCAGGUACCUAGAAGAUAUGUCUCCUAUUUGAGUAAGGUUCCUGACUGAUCCAGAAGGUGAACAAAGUGACUUUUCCCUAAUUUCUCUUUCAAAGUCUCUCAAGUAAUAGGAUUUUAAGAUUUAGAAUGAGAAGGCAUCUUAGAAGUCUUCUAGUUCAACUUCUUUAUUUGAACCAGAGCCAUAUACAAUAAUAUUUUCAAUUGGAGCAAAUGGGGGCGAAGUAUAGAGGUGGUAGCUCAUCUAGGCUGAGUU